rnacentral:rRNA from 1 species
UACGUAGGGCGCAAGCGUUUGUCCGGAAUUAUUGGGCGUAAAGAGCUCGUAGGCGGUUUGUCGCGUCUGCCGUGAAAGUCCGGGGCUCAACUCCGGAUCUGCGGUGGGUACGGGGCAGACUAGAGUGAUGUAGGGGAGACUGGAAUUCCUGGUGUAGCGGUGAAAUGCGCAGAUAUCAGGAGGAACACCGAUGGCGAAGGCAGGUCUCUGGGCAUUAACUGACGCUGAGGAGCGAAAGCAUGGGGAGCGAACAGG